GACGAACGCUGGCGGCGUGCUUAACACAUGCAAGUCGAACGGAAAGGCCUGUUUCGGGGGGUACUCGAGUGGCGAACGGGUGAGUAACACGUAAGUAACCUGCCUUUGUCUUUGGGAUGACUUCAGUAAACUGGGGCUAAUAACGGAUAGGAGCUCUUGCUGCAUGGUGGGGGUUGGAAAGUUUCGGGGGUUUGGGAUGGACUCGCGGCUUAUCAGCUUGGUGGUGGGGGAGUGGCUUAGCAAGGCGUUGACGGGGAGAAGGCCUGUGAGGGUGACCGGCAACAUUGGGACUGAGAUAAGGCCCCGACUCCUACGGGAGGGAGAAGUGGGGAAUCUUGCACAAUGGGUGGAAGCCUGAUGCAGAAACGCCGUGGGCGGGAUGACGGUCUUCGGGUUGUAAACCGUUUUCGCUCAUGACGAAGCUUUGUGUGACGGUAGUGGGUAAAGAAGCACCGGCUAACUACGUG
rnacentral:rRNA from 1 species